rnacentral:rRNA from 1 species
AUGCAGCGAUGCCGCGUGAGUGAAGAAGGCCCUUGGGUUGUAAAGCUCUUUCGUCGGGGAAGAAAAUGACUGUACCCGAAUAAGAAGGUCCGGCUAACUUCGUGCCAGCAGCCGCGGUAAUACGAAGGGACCUAGCGUAGUUCGGAAUUACUGGGCUUAAAGAGUUCGUAGGUGGUUGAAAAAGUUGGUGGUGAAAUCCCAGAGCUUAACUCUGGAACUGCCAUCAAAACUUUUCAGCUAGAGUUUGAUAGAGGAAAGCAGAAUUUCUAGUGUAGAGGUGAAAUUCGUAGAUAUUAGAAAGAAUACCAAUUGCGAAGGCAGCUUUCUGGAUCAUUACUGACACUGAGGAACGAAAGCAUGGGUAGCGAAGAGGAUUAGAUACCCUCGUAGUCCAUGCCGUAAACGAUGUGUGUUAGACGUUGGAAAUUUAUUUUCAGUGUCGCAGCGAAAGCGAUAAACACACCGCCUGGGGAGUACGACCGCAAGGUUAAAACUCAAAUGAAUUGACGGGGACCCGCACAAGUAGUGGAGCAUGUGGUUUAAUUCGAAGAUACGCGCAGAACCUUACCAACACUUGACAUGUUCGUCGCGACUUUAAGAGAUUAAAGUUUUCGGUUCGGCCGGACGAAACACAGGUGCUGCAUGGCUGUCGUCAGCUCGUGUCGUGAGAUGUUGGGUUAAGUCCCGCAACGAGCGCAACCCUCACUUUUAGUUGCCAUCAUUAAGUUGGG